GUGCCAGCAGCCGCGGUAAGACGGAGGAUGCAAGUGUUAUCCGGAAUCACUGGGCGUAUAGCGUCUGUAGGUUGUUUGAUAAGUCAACUGUUAAAUCUUGAAGCUCAACUUCAAAAUCGCAGUCGAAACUAUUAGACUAGAGUAUAGUAGGGGUAAAGGGAAUUUCCAGUGGAGCGGUGAAAUGCGUAGAGAUUGGAAAGAACACCGAUGGCGAAGGCACUUUACUGGGCUAUUACUGACACUCAGAGACGAAAGCUAGGGUAGCAAAUGGGAUUAGAUACCCCAGUAGUCCUAGCUGUAAACAAUGGAUACUAGAUGUUGGGCAGAUCGACCUGUUCAGUAUCAAAGCUAACGCGUUAAGUAUCCCGCCUGGGAAGUAUGCGCGCAAGCGUGAAACUCAAAGGAAUUGACGGGGGCCCGCACAAGCGGUGGAGCAUGUGGUUUAAUUCGAUGCAACGCGAAGAACCUUACCAGGGUUUGACAUGAUACGAAUCUUUUUGAAAGAAAAGAGUGCCGUUUGGAACGUAUACACAGGUGGUGCAUGGCUGUCGUCAGCUCGUGUCGUGAGAUGUUGGGUUAAGUCCCGCAACGAGCGCAACCCUUAUUUUUAGUUGCCUUUUAAGGAACUCUAGAAAGACUGCUGGUUAUAAACCGGAGGAAGGCGGGGAUGACGUCAAGUCAGCAUGCCCCUUACACCCUGGGCUACACACGUGCUACAUUGGGCGAGACA
rnacentral:rRNA from 1 species